GGUGGCUCAGUGGCAGAGCACUUGUCUUGCAUGCAUGAGGCCCUGGGUUCAAUUCCUCAGCACCA
rnacentral:tRNA from 1 species